AUGCAGCUGAUUCUCACGUCUGCUAUGCGACCUUCCCUUUCCUCUUCCUCCUCUUCCUCCUCUCCUCCUUCCUCUAACCAUGCCUCCGCUAAGCUCCAGAGCCUCACCCUGAGGCCCCCCCCCCACGGGGCCCUCACCAUCCCUCCCUCCCUUCGCCUCAAGCCGCCGUGCUCGGCCCCGCCUCCCCUCUCUCGCCCUCAUGCCCCCCUCUUCCCCCCCCUGAGGCCGCGCCCGCAGUCCUGCCACACGGCGACGGAGAGACCAAACGCGCCCGGGCGCCACCUCUCCGUCCCGCCUCCGACUCUUUACUCUCCGGUCCGAGUCGUCCCUCUGAGACCCCGCCUCCACCCUGCAAACAGCCACAGGGCGGCGGUGCCGCGGGUGACCACGCCCCUCCAGCCAAUCGGCGCCGCCGCCCCCCCCGCCUGUCGGGCCCCCCUCCCCGUCAGCAGGCCGGGCGGCCCGUUGACUCAGGCGAUGCGCGGCCCGCCGUCCGCGUCCGCCGCCGCCCGCUUCCAGCGCUCGCCCUCGGCGGCGAGGCAGCUGCAGAUCAUCGCCCUCUCUUCAGGACGCCAGUCCUUUACUCGCCACGCGCCGCCGCCGCCUCCCACCGCCGAGUCGCCCGACCCGCCUGGCCAACUGAAGAGGACGUGGAGCGGCGAGGCGCCUCCGCUCGACCCGUCGUUGCCAAAGAACAGCUACCGGCUCCCCUCGCCUCCGUCACUCCUGAGUGCGCCGCCCCCCCCCCAGUCAGCCCGGCCCUCAGCCACCGGCUGCCAGCCCGAGGGGGGAGGGGGAGGCCGGAGAGGAGCAGCGAGAGAGAGGACGAGGGGUGAGGCAGGGAGUCCCAAAGGGGGAGACAGAGGGGAAGGAGGAGAGGCAGCGGGAAGAAAGCCUCGUCGCCCGGAAGGAGGCGGAGACGGCCGGAGAGGAGGAGCAAAUGGAGGUGACGGAGGAAGGCCGGAGCGAAGGCGAGGAGAAAAAGAUGGAGCAGGAGGAAGGAGAGGCGGCCAUGGACCAGUCUGAGAUCCAUCUGGAGACGGAGCCUGUCCACGCGCCCGACGCCGCUCACGACUCAGGGGGGGAACCGAAACCCACCACAGGCCUCGUUACGGCCCCAGUCCCAACGGCCCCAGUACCUGUCCCAGUACCGGCCCCAGUACCUGUCGCAGUACCGGCCCCAGUACCUGUCCCAGUAACUGUCCCAGUACCGGCCCCAGUACCUGUCCCAGUAACGGCCCCGGUACCGGCCCCAGUACCUGUACCAGUACCGGCCCCAGUACCUGUCCCAGUAACUGUCCCAGUACCGGCCCCAGUACCUGUCCCAGUAACGGCCCCGGUACCGGCCCCAGUACCUGUACCAGUACCGGCCCCAGUACCNNNNNNNNNNGGCCCCAGUACCAGCCCCAGUACCUGUCCCAGUACCUGUCCCAGUGCCGGCCCCAGUACCAGCCCCAGUACCUGUCCCAGUGCCGGUCCCAGUACCUGUCCCAGUGCCGGAGGUCUCCGUCCAAAGUCAGUCUCACCAGGACCUGCAGCCGGUCAGCCAGGAGGACUUCUGUGAGAACAUGUCAACGCAAUCCGACAACCAGUCAGGUGGGUCAGAGUUCAACCCUCGCUGACCGCAAGGAUCAUGUCACCACUAAUGUAUAAUAUGAAAUCACACAUUAUCACUUCCGUAUC
ensembl:lncRNA